GGUGUGAGCCAGAGGUGAAGGUUUCUGUUGUGCUGCUGAUCUGAGAAGGCUGAUAGGACGUGGGUCGUGGUUCAUCAGAGCAGCCUUGGUGUUGGUUGUGUAGCAUACUGGCUGCUGAUCUUUCUAAAUGACGCAACGGGGAUGAUGCUUGUGUUGGGAAGCUCUCUUCAAUAUUAUUCUUACAGAAGCUGGGUGGUGUCAGCAUUCUGCGCACAUACACAGCCUCUGAAAGCAACCAGGAAAGUAGAUUACAGAAGACGAGUUUCCAAGAAGGCAAAAUUGCAACAUCAUUAUGAAAUGAACCGUGUCGUCUUAAUUCUCUGCAAGUUUUAGGCUGCAUACAAACAAUGGGUGCAUCUUGCUGACAUCAAGAACACUUAUAGGAUAUUGAGACAAUGCAAAUAUAAAACAUUUUAGGCAAAUUCCUUCUGUUUGUACUUAGAAUGUUAACUGAGAUAAACUCUUGUAGAAAACUCCCCGAUGGAUGAAGGGUGCCACGCAAAGGAUACAUCCUCUGAACCAAAUAAUUGCCAACAAUUUUCAAACCUCACAGGAAGGGAUCUUUGAUGGGUUAAUGGCCUAGGUCUGCAAAUAUGUAUGUGUAGUGCUUUAAUUUUAUGCUCAACUGAAUAGUUCCCAAUGAAUUUACCAGAAUCACUUAAUGAUAGCCUCAUUAGUGAAAAAACAAUGAAAGAUAAUUAAAACAUGCAUACUUCUACAUGUAUGGACAUACUUUUUUGAUUCUUCAAUUUAAGCAAAUAAAUGCUUAAAUGAUUUUUCAUUUAGAAAAAAGAAAAAAAAGUCUAGAAUUUAAAUUGUUCUC